GACGAACGCUGGCGGCGUGCUUAACACAUGCAAGUCGAACGAGAAUCUGCUGAAGGAGGAUUCGUCCAACGGAAGCAGAGGAAAGUGGCGGACGGGUGAGUAACGCGUGAGGAACCUGCCUUGAAGAGGGGGACAACAGUUGGAAACGACUGCUAAUACCGCAUGACGCAUAGAGGUCGCAUGAUCUUUAUGCCAAAGAUUUAUCGCUUCAAGAUGGCCUCGCGUCUGAUUAGCUAGUUGGCGGGGUAACGGCCCACCAAGGCGACGAUCAGUAGCCGGACUGAGAGGUUGAACGGCCACAUUGGGACUGAGAUACGGCCCAGACUCCUACGGGAGGCAGCAGUGGGGAAUAUUGGGCAAUGGGCGCAAGCCUGACCCAGCAACGCCGCGUGAAGGAAGAAGGCUUUCGGGUUGUAAACUUCUUUAAGAGGAAGAGCAGAAGACGGUACCUCUAGAAUAAGCCAACGGCUAACUACGUG
rnacentral:rRNA from 1 species